UAUUAGAAUAUUAUGUAUUUUAGUAAAGUUUUUUAAAAAUGUGAAAUAAGGAUAGAAAAGACGGAAUAAAAUAAUAUAAAAAGGAAGGAUCGAAAGAGUAUAGAAUGUAAAUAAAAUUGUAUGGAGGAAAGAAUACAAGGUGUUGGACGAAAUGAAGAUUUUUGAAUAGAAUAAUAUGAAAAGGAACGAAGAAAGGAAGAAGUAUCAAAAGAGUUUCGAAAGGAAAUACAAUAUAAAAUUGAAAUGAGAAAUGAAUUGGAGGUGUUUGACAAGUAAAGUUUUUUAAAAAAUGUGUAUUAAAGAGCAAGAAAAGAAGAGGAAUAAAAUAAUAUGAAAAGAAAAAGAAGAAAGAAGAAAGAAUUGAAGGAGUUCAGAAUGAAAAUAAAAUUGAAGAAGGAAGGAAUUUAUGGUGUUUAAAAACGUAAAGAUUUAUGAUUAGAAUAAUAUCUAAAUCAAGGAAGAAAGGAGGAAGGAUCGAAGGAGUUUAUAAAGAAAAUAAAAUUGAAAGAAAAAAAAAGUUGAAGGUGUUUGAAGAGAUUAAGGUUUUUAAAUCAAAGUAAAGUUUUUUAAAAAUGAGUAUUAAAAAUGAAAGAAAGUAUAGAAAUACAAUAGAAUAAUAUAAAAAGGAAGGAAGGAAGGAAAAAGGAUUGAAGAAACUUUGUAUGAAAAUACAAUUGAAAGGAGAAAGGAAUUAAAUGUAUUGGAGAUGUAAAGAUUUUAAAAUGUGUGCAAUGAGGGUAGAGAAACGGAGAGAUAUGAAAUAAUAUAAGAAAGAAGGAGAAAGAAUUGAGUGUAAAAUAAGUAAAAAAUAGAAAACAGAAAGUAAUUAAAGGAGGUAGAGAAG